GACGAACGCUGGCGGCGUGCUUAACACAUGCAAGUCGAACGGAAAGGCCCUGCUUUUGUGGGGUGCUCGAGUGGCGAACGGGUGAGUAACACGUGAGUAACCUGCCCUUGACUUUGGGAUAACUUCAGGAAACUGGGGCUAAUACCGGAUAGGAGCUCCUGCUGCAUGGUGGGGGUUGGAAAGUUACGGCGGUUGGGGAUGGACUCGCGGCUUAUCAGCUUGUUGGUGGGGUAGUGGCUUACCAAGGCUUUGACGGGUAGCCGGCCUGAGAGGGUGACCGGCCACAUUGGGACUGAGAUACGGACCAGACUCCUACGGGAGGCAGCAGUGGGGAAUAUUGCACAAUGGGCGGAAGCCUGAUGCAGCAACGCCGCGUGCGGGAUGACGGCCUUCGGGUUGUAAACCGCUUUCGCCUGUGACGAAGAGUGAGUGACGGUAAUGGGUAAAGAAGCACCGGCUAACUACGUG
rnacentral:rRNA from 1 species